rnacentral:ncRNA from 2 species
AGUUCCGAGGAGCGUUGCAACUUCAUCAUUGAUGAAGCCAGGCUCGGACCUUCGUGAGAGUUUGCAACGGCGCUCGCUCACU